ACACAGUGACUUAUGAAUUAAGAGAGUGUAAACUUUUGGGAGUACAUUAGAUUUGAGUCAAUACACUGAAAAAAAGUGCACAUGGCAUGUCAUUACUCUAAAGAAGUCGUUAUAACGUUACUUGAUCUAACUCAAAACAUUACAUUUUCUGUCUAGCCAUCAGUGUUAUGUAAAUAUUUGGUCAAUGUAAAAUUAAAAGAAUGUAUUGUUAGUGUAAAAUAUACAUUUCUGUAAAUUGAAAUUUAAAAUAUUGGUUCCCAUUGUCACGUGAUUUAUAACGUAAUCCGGGGUCAUGCGUGAGGACGUUCAGCAUUCUUGUUAAACCGCAUGGAUGAACUCGGCGUGGUAAAACGUGAAUAAAGAAAAUUGGACGGGGUACUGCUGAACAACAAUUAGGACAGGUUUUGAAUAAUCCAGCCACAUGAAAAACGUAAAAGUCUAUUUUCUGUUUCUCUUUCUUACAGAUUAAUGCAGAAUUUUUUCGCAUCACGACCUUACCUCUACAAUCAAGAUUUAUGGCCUCUUUGGACAGACAGACAGCUCUCAGCUUCUCCAGGUUAUCAGGAGCAAAGGUGGAGCCCUCCGUGAGAAAACUAAGGACACUAUUAAAGUUAUGGAUCAGAGUUUGGACAUAGACAUCAGAAGAGAGUGCCUGCUGAAGUGCCUGAUCACAUACCUUGGUGAAGAUGCAAGCUGUCUGAUCAAAGAAUACCAGGCUGACCAGAGGGAGGAAGCAGAGAGAGAAUUUGAAAAGACCACCAUGGCGUUUUUUGUGAUCCGUGAAACUGAUGCUCUUAGUCGUGCACUGGACAUUUCCAUUGUCAUUGACGGUGUGGAAGUACUCAAUUAAUUGCCCUCUGUUGCAUGUGCCUGUGCAUGUGUAUUUGUAUCAGAAUGUUAUUAUGACAAAAUAAACUGUCAAAUGUU